rnacentral:rRNA from 1 species
UACAGAGGUCUCAAGCGUUGUUCGGAUUCAUUGGGCGUAAAGGGUGCGUAGGCGGCGCGGUAAGUCGGGUGUGAAAUCUUGGAGCUUAACUCCGAAACUGCAUUCGAUACUGCCGUGCUUGAGGACUGGAGAGGAGACUGGAAUUUACGGUGUAGCGGUGAAAUGCGUAGAUAUCGUAAGGAAGACCAGUGGCGAAGGCGGGUCUCUGGACAGUUCCUGACGCUGAGGCACGAAAGCGUGGGGAGCGAACAGG